UACGUAGGGUGCAAGCGUUAAUCGGAAUUACUGGGCGUAAAGCGGGCGCAGGCGGGUAUAUAAGUCAGAUGGGAAAUUCCCGGGCUCCACCUGGGAACUGCAUUUGAGACUGUAUAGCUAGAGGACGGUAGAGGGGGAUGGAAUUCCGCGUGUAGCAGUGAAAUGCGUAGAUAUGCGGAGGAACACCGAUGGCGAAGGCAAUCCCCUGGACCUGUACUGACGCUCAUGCACGAAAGCGUGGGGAGCAAACAGGAUUAGAUACCCUGGUAGUCCACGCCCUAAACGAUGUCAACUGGUUGUUGGGUCUUAACUGACUCAGUAACGAAGCUAACGCGUGAAGUUGACCGCCUGGGGAGUACGGCCGCAAGGUUG
rnacentral:rRNA from 1 species